GUGUGUUAGUAACCAAAUAAAAUGUAUAUAAUUAAUUAAAAUGCAAAAUCAUUGGAGUCAAAAAUGCAUUUUGUCUAUCACGGUCGACUAUCCUUUUAAGCUAUAUAAUUGACGAUAUUUGAAUUUUCCAUUCCCGGAACCAAGGGAAAAGAAAUGUGUUCUAAUGAAUUCUAACCAACUCCCACAUGAGGCGACUGAACUGAAAUUUUUUUAGAACCGAUCUAUCAAAUUGCUCUUGGAUCUGCAUUGAUUAGAGAUUUUUCUGAAGACGGAAUGGAAGCCGGAGAAGCAAGAAGGCAUCGGGACCUAUUCUUCUGCACGACCAUUGUUUUUUAUGAAUGUUUUUCCCGCUGAGGCUAAAACAGCUUGCUCGUUGGACACAUUUGAACUUUUGUUUCUCUUAGAAUUAACCUUAGUACAUGGAAAUGCACAUAGAAAGGUAUGAUCAGCACUAACCAUACUGUUCAACUAUUGCCAAUAAAUUGAGAGGAACUAUUAUUCUGCUAUUUCGAGUAUCAUUUAUAGGAAACUAAGGAUCAUGGAGAAAUGAAAGUGUGAUAAGCACGAACAAUUGCCCUUCCCAUUUGUUAAUGGUCCAUUUACUACCAGAUAUACAUCUUGUAUUA